GCGCGCGGGGCGGUGUCGCUUCCAUCAGGGCGGCUGCUUCGGGCUCCGUGUGAUCGCGGCGGGGAUGUGUGAAUAAAAGGCGUCAUUUUCCUAACAGCGACCCCCUAAUCCCCGCUUUAUAUCGCCUACGGGCUCUUCUGCGCCUCAAGGAGCCAGCCCUGGGGCUCCUUGCCUGAAUCCUUCGUGUCCAGGCUGCUUUUGAGAACUGUAAAAUGCCCAGAAAAGCUGAGGGGGAAAUGGCCAUGGCGCCAUGGCGGUGCCGAGGGGACCCUGUGUGCCAGGAUGAGGUGGUGCGGUCCUCGGCAGGGCUGUGGGGCAGGAAGGAAGCCCGUGUUGUGUAAGGAGCUGAACUGACGUGGCUGCUGGGCUGGAGGAGCAAUAAAGAUAAAGUGCACCAGCUGAGUCCCAAAUCAAAGCAGGGAGUUGUGAGAAGUGGCCAUCUUCAAAAAAAUUUUUCUCCAGCCUAGGCUACUUACAAGUGGCAGCAGUGUGUUAGUUAAGGGAGCAAGUCGACGUUUCUGUCAAGUGCUUGAGGUACGUCUCAGAUCACCAUGCCACAGUCCCACUCGUUCUCAUCUGAAGGACCUGCUUCCCCUGUAUUUCUGCAAAUGGCCUGAAUUCAUCCUGCCUUUAGCCCAUGAAUCACCCAGGAGCCCCAGCCUACCAGCUUUCCCAAGCGGCAGAAGACCUGUGGUAAGAAACCUCUCAUCUAGCCAGACCAUCAUGACCUGCAUGACCAAGUUCUCUCAGCCUCUGAUGAGAAAUCCCACCUUUUCCAAAGCAAACACAGACAGGCUCAGCUCGUUGGACUAUGCCCCAAGCAGACUGACAAAAUCUUGCUUGAGGGGGAGGAGAGCUGCCAGAACAGAAACCGGAGUUGCUGAGCUCCAGUCGACUGCUGUCACUGUUCCCAGCUUAAUUCACUGCCAGUGAUCCCAUGGUUAACACAGUCAUUGUGGAUAUUUUUUCUAACAGCUCAACCCUUCAUAAUGUCGCAGAAGUAAGAUCUUUCCAGAGAAUAUGUAUUUGGACUUCUCUUCUUCAAAUAUCUUGAGAUUAUCAUUCUCCAUAUGUGUUUGAAGUAGUACAUAUUGGCUGCUCUUUGCUAGUGCCUAAAACAUUGCUAAGACUACAGGAAGCUACUGUUCUGACUGGGUAGGUAACUGAGCAGCAUUUAUGCAUUCUUGUCUUUACUCCUCUCUCUGCAUAAGCUUUUGUUCCCACAAGUAAUCCUAGUCAGAGUAGAUUUUAGUUAUUCCAUUUGCUCAAGAACCUCUGAAUGGGGCCUCUUGGACACAGCAGCUUUGUCUCCCCUCUACCCAUACAUACAUAGGAGGAGAGAUUGUCUUGAUGUUCAAAGCAGUGUGUAACAGAAACAAGCAGCAUUUUGUUCUGGUCAGAAAUAAUCAUUGCUUAUACGAAGUUGUUUGAACAGUGCAUUUCAGAAUGCAUUCCACUUCUUGUCUCAUGGCAAGGAGGAAUUGGGCUUUACUCUCUGGGGUCUGAUUAUCACUGCACUUGGAACACAGGUCUCCUGUUGAAGUACUGAUACGGAGCAGGUGCUUUGAAGACUCAGGGAUAUUUCUGUUGGAGAAAGCAGAUGAGUGAGUCCUAAUCAGUUAGUUUACAAUGAUAUACAUUUAUAGAUCUGUGUGUAUCCAUCCAUACUGAAAAAAAAAAAAAAACACACAAGGAUAUUUGAGAAGAGGGAGCCCAAUAGCUCUGUAAAAUAAGCUAAAAUAAGCAUGCUGAGAAGCCCAAAGAUGUAGAGAUGAGUAGGUCACCUCCUCAAAGAAGCCUGCAGUGACCACUUCCCUUCUUUCAGUGCUCAGACUUGUUUCCACCCUUGGACUAGCUUUUCAAGUACGGUUUUAAAGUUUGGGUUGAAAAAAAAUGCACAUACAAUAGAAUUUAUUCCAGAUCACUAGUGUACUGCAAAUGAAAAACAUUUGAAAGAGCAGCUUGAAGUCCACUGAAAAUAUGACUCUAAUGGACAUCAUCUGAUCAGCUGGUAUGGACAGGCAAAGUUUCAAAUGAUACAUAAUUUACAAUAGUCCAUAAAAAAGCAGCAGUUUAUUAAAGGAAGAUGACAAUGGAGGAAAGAUGAACCACAGGGGCAAAAAUAGAACCUUUUAAUAAUUGCAGAGAUGAGGCAUUACCAGAUUUAGAAAACAGGUAGGCAGGCCAAGGGAGAACAGACUCAGGAGGAACCACGACAAAGCAAUUGGUGAAUAGAUAUGCAAAUGUUCCAAGGCAACCAUCUUGAGUAUUUACAUCACCAGUAGGAUAUCUCCUGCAUAUUCUAAGCACGUAGCAGAAAUGUUAUGAUCUAUCAAGAACUAUAACCGCUGGGUUAUAAAAUUCUGCAUUAUAUCAAGGUAGUCUUGUAUUUUAAGUAUUUAAACACUGAAUAAUUGCAGUCUUUUCAGCACUAUACAUUUUCUAAGCAAACUUCUCAUGUGCCCCAUUCACUUUCGACUGAACUGACUUUUGACUGAACUGAAUCAGUUUUGCUUAGUUUAUAUUUUACCUUUUUUUUUUAGCUAACAGAUUUGCAAUUUUAUUAGUCAAUGUCAAUUAGGUAGCAGGAGGUGCUGGUUUGUUAUGUUAGCAAUGACAGAGGUACUCAGAUUCUGUAAAGUAUUGCUUAAAAUGCUAUUUGUUAGAGCUAGCACUAUGAAGAAAGAGAGGACAGCAUAGAUCGUUCUACAUACUUUCAGAUGCUGUGAAGACCAAGCUAUGCUAUGAACAUGCCUCUGAUUCACAUAGAGCACACUGUGCAGACCCUGUCCAUGGAAAACUUAUCCCAUUUUGCUCACUUGGGCUAUUAAAAAAAAUUUAUUACAAGAAAACUGUUCAUCGUUUCUACUGUCAAGCAGAAAGGAUAUUCACAUGAGAAGUUGCUGCACUUUUAAAUAAAGACAAGGACACACAGGUGGUGUAAUCCCACCAAGUGGGAGCUGCAUGCAGGCCCCUCUAUUACAAUCACCUUGCCAAAUUUCCCCUGCAACCAGAGGUUAUGUGCAGAACACAGGCAUGAAUCCAAGCUGUACAGACAGCACCCUGCACCUAUUCAGAUUAAGUGCUAAGAGUUAUGUGUAGCACUAACUCCUCGUUGUGCAACAGUCUUCACGUCAGGAUCACUGCAGAUAACUAUUAGAAAUACCAUGCAGAUCAACAGUAUAUACACCACUAAAACGAUAAGUUUCCUUGCACUUCCUUGUAAGCAUUGUUUAGAAACAUCUUAAGCAUCAUCAGGUCACUGCUGAUUUCUUAAGUUUGAAAUAGGUUUUCAGUUACUACACAAUUUCUAAGUCUCACUAUGCAUUUAUCGUGUGCUUCAUCUCCUUAUCCAAGCUUAACUCACUCAUUUUUAACAGGGGGAAGAAGGCAGCCAAGAUCCAAGUAUUGAUUAUUUCUGGCUUAUCCAUCACAGGAAGCUUAAAUAAUUAAAAGGUUGCUGGCAGUUGAAUUGAUGAUCAUCAAAUAUUGUGUUUUAAUUUCAUCUGACUGAGAGCAGCCAUGCUACAAACCCAGAUUCAAUUAGGUUUCCUCAGCUCUCCAGUUUGAUACACAAACUGAUGGAGUUAGGUUGGAAGGAAGUUCUGAAGGUCACCUAGUCCCAGACCCUGCUCUAAUCCACUGUGUCAAGGUUGGGCAUCUAGUUAUUGGGUCUGAGAGAGCAGCAUUUGUAGAGGUAGUUUAUUCUGCAACCACCUCAUAAUGCAGGGCUUGUUUUUCUGUAGAAGGUGAUAUUAUCAAGUCCCAGAGUCACUGUAUAGACUACAUGAACCACUGGCUAAUGCAGCAGUCCUUAUGAUCCUAGAGGGCAAAUUCUGUUUACUAGAAUACCAACUGCAUUCACAGAUGCAGAUUGGUGUUUCUGGAGAUGUGAAAAUACUUCCAAGCAGUGUGGUUUUUUUUUUUUUUAAAUUUUUUAAUUUUUUUUAUUUUUUUAUACAAU